UUGUCUCCAGGACAAAGGGCUUUGGUUUUGCCUGGUGGGAGAGGCGGGAGAGGGAAUGCUGCA
rnacentral:sRNA from 1 species